CCCUCUGAGGGUGACAUCACAGACUGGGAGAAGGGCUACCACACUGAGCUCUCUUCACAAUGUAGUUUCCCAGAGAGAUGGGUACAAAAUCACUUUUCUACAAAAGCAUGGUUUGAUGUGGGGGAGAAAAAAUCCAAAGUAAUAUUUGCACUCUUGUAACAGUGUAAGAGUCUCCCCUUCUUUGUACGCUCAAAUAAUAGCAGCAUAAUCACCACCUCACUCCAGCACUUCAAAACUUCUUUCUCUGAGCUGCUGAACCGCAGCUCAGUAUAUGGAACACAUUAAUGAGUUAUCAUCAACUUCUGAAGAGCCAGAAUCCACUGCCACUGAGAUUUUGCUGGAAUGUCACUUUUCAAAGAAAAUCUUCAGCAAAUUGUCUAACAUUAUAAGCUCUGUUUAAAGUAUGCUUAUAAAACUACUCACUCAUUUAAUAAAUAACAAAAUUAAAUUUUA